AAAAAUUUAGUUAAAAAAUAACAUUAGCCUGUCAAGCUAAAAUUAUUGCCAUCAAUAAUUUUUG
rnacentral:tRNA from 1 species